CGUAAGUCCUACAUAAUCUAUUCCACUUCACACCUUAUAGGGGAGAGACAACCAAAAACCAACAAACAUUCAUCUAACUCAAAUACACUCUCUUUAACUUGUUAGCAACCAUGGGGACUGAUUCAAUUUACCGGCGGUCGCCAUUUUACGGCUGUAUGUCACCGUCAUGUAUUCCGGUGCACGAAGAAUAUUCGCGUAUAAACGAGUGUCGCCGGGGAGGACGUGGCAGCUAUGGGAAAACAUGGAGAAAGAUGCUGAAGAAAUUGGUGAAUGAAGGGAAGAAUGUGUAUGGAAAAAAGACUUUGAUGUUUCACUAUGAUGCAGUUAGUUACUCGCAGAAUUUCGAUGAAGGAUGUAAUAAAGAUGAUUAUCCUAUACGUCAUCACCAAGUGUUCAGAGAUUUCAGAAUUACUAAUAUUAUAAUUUAUGAGCUCCAUUGACAUCAUUUCAUCAUCAGUUGGAGCAGUUAGAUAGGAAUCCCGAUGAAAUUGUGAAGGUACGAUUUUGCUAUUGUGGACUUGUUGCGGAUCUUAAGAUGUCCAAGACACCAAUAAAUCUUGGAAGAAGGUUUUGGGGCUGCCAAAGAUAUGCAAGUGGUAAUGAAUAUGGCUAUUUUCGAUGGGUUGAUCCGGCUGAUCCAAUAUGCCAAGAACAAUACAACAUACUAAUAAACUCUACAAGUGUUGGUAGGGAAGGCAUGGAAGGUCGACUUGCUGCAUUGUUGCCACAGUUAUGGUUAUUGUUCUUUGGUUCCUUAUCUUUUGUAUGUAAGAUUAGUUUUCUAGUUCAGUUGUUUAGGCUUGUUAUUUUCAGUUGGAGAGAGCUGCAGGCUGUGCGUCCACCAAACACAAUAUGCAGGGACCUGGUUAUUUACUAGUUCUCUUUCGCAAUGCAGUAAGUACAGAAGGCGAGAUUUUAGUGCGGAAAACUCUUUGCUCAAAAGAUUAAAAACCACGACCUACCCCAGUAGGAUUUCAACUCCA